UACGGAGGGGGCUAGCGUUGUUCGGAUUUACUGGGCGUAAAGAGCGCGCAGGCGGUCGUUUAAGUCGAAUGUGAAAGCCCCCGGCUCAACUGGGGAGGGUCAUUCGAUACUGAUCGACUUGAAGGCAGGAGAGAGAAGUGGAAUUCCCGGUGUAGUGGUGAAAUGCGUAGAUAUCGGGAGGAACACCAGUGGCGAAGGCGACUUCUUGGCCUGUUCUUGACGCUGAGGCGCGAAAGCUAGGGGAGCAAACAGG
rnacentral:rRNA from 1 species